GUAAAAGAAAAGGAGUGGGCAUCUGACCAAAAGAGCCAAUGGGACGGCUAGAACUUUUUAAAAUUGAAAACAAGACACCCCUUUGUCUGUGUGUUGUUCUUCUCUGGGGAAGAGAGGAACAGGGCAGCAAUUAUGCUGUGAAAAGCUUUAAGCCAGGUAUGAAAAACCAUCAGAUCAUACCUAGAGAUUGCUUAUCUGAAACCCCAAAUAUGUAAGUAAAUCAGGGAAUGUCUAGGAAGACGCGAUGAGGGUUAUUUCUUUUAUUUCUUAUUGGCUUUUGGACUCCUCUGUUCUAACCCCCAAAUGCUUUUGUUUUGCUUGUAACCUGUAAGCUAAACCUCAAGAAAGCUAUCUUGAUGCUUAAUUUUUGUAAGUGGGUUUUUUAAAUCUAGCAAAAGCCUAAUUUCAGAUGUAUCUUUUUCUUUUUGUUUUUAAUAACAUUUACCUUUUAUAAGAACAGGAUUGGAUUUUUGUGUCUAUAAGAGGUUUGUGCAAAUGUUGUUUAAUUAGUUGGUGGCAAGAGCUGAUUUCCUUUGUUUUCUUUCUCAGCUCUUCCUGAGGGGGGGGUGAAAGGGCUUGAGGGUACCCCAAAGGGAGGAAUUCCCAAGUGCACCUUCCUGGAUCCC